rnacentral:misc_RNA from 1 species
UAUGAGCUGGAUUCAAGUCAGGAGGUAUGUUUGUGAUGGAAGCUAUCACUGCCAAAUGGUAUCUGUAGUCUGUUAGCCGACUCUAGUAUCAAUGUUCAAAUAAGAUAAUUUUGCCUACUACCAACUUAUAAUUGUACUAUCAAGUAUUUUUUCUACACAAUCAAUAAGAGUGACUAAUGUGAAAUAAGGUGCAAAAUGUGCUUCAUAAGAAAGUAGUCAGUGUGUAUGGAUGGAAGGCACAGCAAUUUUAAUCUGGACUGAAGCAAAAUUCAUAGAAAUAUAUGUACACCAUCUGGACAUGUAUACGACUCCGUAUGCCUUCUUUGGAUAUUCUCAUAGAGGUGUGCAAAACAAAUUCUGACUUUUUGGUAUUCUUGAACAGUUGUUUGGUCUUGGUUUAGCAAAUAUCUUG